UUCUCUCCAAUAGGGGAGUCUCAUGGCGUGGGCGGCUUUGGGGUGACGCGUGCUCGUGCUGGCUGUGGCAUUGGGUGCCUCGGACGAAAGCCUUGCUCGGCAUUGGGCCUAGGCCGACAAUGGCGACACCCUCGGGCAUCGCUUCCUCCUUGAAGGCGUUUGUCGAAGGUGCUCCCUCCCUUCUUCGCCGUGGGAUUUUUCAGGUGAACUUGGUCGUGCCUGGACGGGCGACAACGACGCUUGUGGCGUCGUUUACUCCCUAGAGGCGUCGUUUUGGAAGAUCCCACACUGAGUUCUGGUGGCUGAUGUCUUAGUCGUGGCGGGACCUUUCUUCGGCAACAAUUGUGAACACUCCGGGUCUCUACAAGGGGUAAGUUGUCGGUGAGGCCUCUGCCCUUUUGGUGCUACGUUGGUUUGUCCACGGAUGGGCUAUGGUGGAGUCGGAGCUCCUGCGUUGGGGCGUCCGACGAGCUUGGUAAUGAUGACACGUGGUGGCCGUGGACGGGGACACAAGGCAUCAAGACAGUGGCUGAGACUUUUGUUGAAAUACAUGGAGAUACGAAAGAUUAUGUAUUACCAUCAAGGAUUGCAUCUGUCCAUAUGAUUCUCUAACCGUAUAGAGAUUUUUCAUAUGGUAACCACCAAGGAGAAGUAUAUGCGCCAACUUGUAAGAUAUUCAUGUUCAGCUUCGAGCACUACAAACUAACUCCUGGUCAGAAGUAUGCUCACUUGUAAAUGAAAGGUGUGCUUUGAGAUCAAGAUAGGCCCAAAUAAUCUGCAGAUUGAUCAGAUAUUCAAGAUUUUCAGCCAGAACUAUUAGGAACUAAUGCAAAACCAGUCUGUUCUUGUGCUGCAGUAUUUCCAUCAGUUUCAGAGAGAAGGGAUGGCUACCCUGGUUUCCUUUCUUAGAAAGAACCGAACAUCAUACAAGUAUACAACGGGAUAGUUUGGAUAGAUUUAACGGCUACAUUCUGCGGUUCGAACUCUGUACGUCAGAGUUGUUUGACAAGAUGGACACAUUUUCUCACUGGAUGCAUCUCACUUGCAGAUGAAAACGACUCAGUCUCCGAUACAGUGCAAAUAAUUGGGAACGGAGGGACUGCCUCCAUGAAAUAAUUCAGGAGCUGUAACUGUAUGAUUCGAAGUUCAAACCAGGGGAAUGGGGAUCCAAAUCCUCUUAUUUCACCUCGGUGAAGUAAGAGGUGAACUCUAAUUCCUGAGACGAUGGGCAGUAGAAUGGUACUGAGCACGGUAGCAAAGUUACUAUAGAGUCAAAUACUGUAACAGUUAUGCUGUUCAAAAAAUGCUGUAACAUCGAAUCAUAUCUAUCUAUAUAAGAUCCAAAGGCUCAUGGUGGAGCGAAGUCAGAGGAUUCCAGUGUGGCGAAUGGAGGAAGGACACGCACGGCGACAGGGGGCGUCCCUCGCCGUGUGCACGUGUGCAUGAACUUGCCCCCCUGGAGUUACAUCACGCAUUGAUUCAUGCGUGCACAGCUGUUGAUUGACUCGGUGCUUGCGGAGUUGAGACAUGGAUGGCCCGAUCGGUGCAGCCGGGGGCGAACACGGCACAUGCUUGCAUGGGAUGCGUCGCGCUGUUCAUCAGGAGCUGUGUACUCCGCCAGAGAGGACGACGCUUCCAAGCCUCUCUCUCUCAACUGCUGCCGCUGCAGCAAUGCAGUACUCGCUUAGCUUUUGCUGGAUCCUGGAUCACCCUGAUUAUGCUGCGUACCUGCUGUCCAGUUCUGAUGCAGAGUUGGUUAGCUUGGUGCAACAGUAGUGUCAUUCCGCUUCUGCCAGUACUGAUGAUUUGGCCUAAAUGACUCGCAACAGUAUCUUUGGUUAGAGACUGAAGAGGACUCCAGCUGUGUGGAUAUGCUUGUGCUGCAGCUACAUGUCUCACACAGGGCAUAAACAUCUUCAUGUACUAUAUACUGAAGCU